GUACUUUUUUCCUCCAACUGUAGUGUGAUUUCAGUGCUCUUGUCACUUCUUUGUAUCGGAGUUUCAUGGCAUGAUGAAGUCUCCUCCCCUAAAACAUUAUUUGGUUGUUGCUGUACAUCAAACUGUUCCACAUCAGGAAUUGAGUCAGUUUCUGAAUCUGUCUCAAGCAAAUCCUCAUGUCACCAUUGCACCUGCGAUUGGUACAGGUCGUUACCAGCCAUGAGAGUAUUUAAUAUCAUGAAGCCUUUUUUUCGGAAACGUCCCUUACAUGCUUGGACAUGGCUGAACCCCUGUUCAAAAAGAAAGUCAGGUAUGUCAGCUGUGUCUUCGCUUGCUUGGGAACCGUAUCAAUCAUCAUACUGAUGCCCAAUUCUUUUCUCUUUGUGAUCGAAGAGCUUUCGCCUCAAAGUUUGGAAGGUAAGACUUAUCUUUUCCAGAUUUUUCUUUAAUCUUGGAUGGAUGCAAGUUUUGUUUCCUUGAAUGGGUUAAAAAAUGGUUGACGGUUUUUUUUGUUUUCUUUAAUUUUCAUUCCAGUACUUCUUUUCAAAUGGGUGCACGAAUUUCUGACUUCUAAUAAUUUCCGGGUGUUGUUUUAAAAUAUUUGACUGUUUUUAUUUUCAAUUAUACUUCUCUUCAAUUAACCUGAGGUUUACCUAAUCCUUAUCCUUUUUCACUGCAUGGUGUGAAAAUUUGUUGAGUAAGAAAUAAAACAAAAAUUUGACUCUUGAGGAGAUGCUCAACAGCAUGGUCUUUGUUGUGUUCUUGUUAUUCAUUUUGUCAAGAUAUUUUUGUAAUGCUGGUUCGCAAUUUUGCCUUGGGCUAUCAACUUCAUUUCAGUUUGUAGAUCUGAAAUCGGUGUGAUGUUAUAAUAUACUUGCAUGUAAAAUUUUCCAAUACCAGCAAGACUUUUUUGACUAUGGUGUAUGUUUCUCUUGUUCAAAACUCUUUUCUUCAAUGUGAUUGAAUGUAACGUUCAUCAAUGUAAACUGUUCUUGAUUUUUAUGUGAUCUUAAUCUUUCCAUUUUAAUAACACAUAAGUACAUGAAAAAUUUUUUGCAACUUUUAACCCUUUCUUCUUUUCAUUUUUUUGAAGUCCAGAUUUAAUUACCUCCUAUAACACAGCCAAUAGCGACAAAUAGAAGAAUAACACACAGAACACAGAUGUCCUAAAUUAUUCCUCUACUUUGAUGAAGACUUUGAGAAAGGCAUAAAAGACUUCCUCUGUUUAUGUACUAAAAGACUGAGACUAUGAGCAUAUUUGCUUUCUACAUCAUGA
rnacentral:lncRNA from 1 species